rnacentral:rRNA from 1 species
UACGUAGGGUGCGAGCGUGUCCGGAAUUAUUGGGCGUAAAGAGCUCGUAGGCGGUGUGUCACGUCGUUCGUGAAAACCUAGGGCUUAACCCUGGGCUUGCAGUGGAUACGGGCAGACUAGAGGUAGGUAGGGGAGAAUGGAAUUCCUGGUGUAGCGGUGAAAUGCGCAGAUAUCAGGAGGAACACCGGUGGCGAAGGCGGUUCUCUGGGCCUUACCUGACACUGAGGAGCGAAAGCGUGGGGAGCGAACAGG